GGAGGUAUGUCUCAGUGAUAAGAGUGUGUGCCUAGUGCUCACAAGGUCCUGGGUUCAAUCCCCGGCACCUCCA
rnacentral:tRNA from 1 species